rnacentral:rRNA from 1 species
UAAUACGUAGGGCGCAAGCGUUGUCCGGAUUUAUUGGGCGUAAAGAGCUCGUAGGCGGUCUGUCGCGUCGGAUGUGAAAACCCGGAACUCAACUCCGGGCCUGCAUUCGAUACGGGCAGACUUGAGUACUGCAGGGGAGACUGGAAUUCCUGGUGUAGCGGUGGAAUGCGCAGAUAUCAGGAGGAACACCGGUGGCGAAGGCGGGUCUCUGGGCAGAAACUGACGCUGAGGAGCGAAAGCGUGGGGAGCGAACAGGAUUAGAUACCCUGGUAGUCCACGCCGUAAACGGUGGGCACUAGGUGUGGGGACCAUUCCACGGUCUCUGCGCCGCAGCUAACGCAUUAAGUGCCCCGCCUGGGGAGUACGGCCGCAAGGCUA